rnacentral:rRNA from 1 species
UACAGAGAGUGCGAACGUUGUUCGGAAUCACUGGGCUUAAAGCGCACGUAGGCGGCAUCGUAAGUGUCGGGUGAAAUCCCACGGCUCACCCGUGGAACUGCCCGGCAGACUGCGAUGCUCGAGUGUGGUAGGGGAGAACGGAACUCCUGGUGGAGCGGUGAAAUGCGUAGAUAUCAGGAGGAACACCGGCGGCGAAGGCGGUUCUCUGGUCCACAACUGACGCUGAGGUGCGAAAGCUAGGGGAGCAAACGGG